UAAAAAUAAAAAUAAUAAUGACAUAAACUAAAGCUUCAAUUAACUUACACUAUGAUGUAAAGUUUUUGAGAUAUAAACAUACAUAUGUUAAAUUUAUAUAAAAUUUAAAUUAAAGACCGAUGUCUUCAUUUGUGAUAAAUGUAUCUAUUUUUCUUCGAUUUAUCAUAUUUGAUCUAUAUAUAUCGGAACAUGUUCUCAUGUGUCGUAGUAAUCGACAUAUAAAUGUUAUAUACCGGAACAUGUUUCUAUAUACCGGAACGGCGCAUCUAACGUCGCACUCGCCUCUUUUUGGGCUCCAUCGCGGUCGUUUCUUCUUUGGUUUGCUGCCGUGCGAAGGAAGAGGAAGAGAUUCUGAUUCCAUGGGCACUCCAGUCUCUUCUGCUGCCUUCCCUUCCGAAUGCCGUGGAGAUUCGACGCUGCCUUCCCCUGCCUUUUACCGCGCCGUUUAUUCCCAGAUUGAAGAGGUUGGUUGGGAGCACCUGAUGGGAGCAGCGGAAGAUCUGUCAUGUCUCACCUUCCGACGCUUAGAUAAGAAGGGACGAGUGCACAUAUUAGAGAUAUCAUUACCUCGUAACUAUCCCGAAUCUUCGCCUACUAUUGCUGCGGAUGUACCUUGUAUCAAUGAGGUGGUGUGGUCCGAAAAGUCAAGAUUGAAAGAUGUUGUGCAACAAUUUGAUGAGCAUUUGCAGAAGUUGCAGGAAUUUUGGUCUACCAUGGAUGACAUUGAUAGAGAUCUCUGUGUUGUUUAUCCGAAGGAAUCAUCUCUUGCAACAUCAUAUUGUCAGAUUGGACUUGGCAAUGACUGCUAUCUUUUAUUACAUAUCAGUACUUCAAGCCCAAGGUCUUUACCAGAGUGUCGUUUCUUUGGUCCAGACUCAGCUGUAGUUUUAAUGAGGAAUAACUGGAAGAAGAAUGCUAUAAAAUGGAAAGUUGACAAACCAUUCCACGAGAAUCUGGCAGCACUUUUGGAGAGAGAACUACCUGGCCCUUCUGUGAGCAGUAAAGAUGAUGGGCAAGUUGAUUGCGGAAUUUGCUAUGCUCAGUACUUGCCAGUUGACGAUGAACUUGGAGCUAACAGCGGAAGUGCACCGGACUAUACCUGCAAAAAUCCUAGUUGCAGUAAAGCUUUUCAUACCGUAUGCCUCAGAGAUUGGCUGCAUUCCAUUACAACAACGAGGAAGUGUGUACAUUUCGGCCAGUCAUCGGCAUCGUUGUUUGUUAAUUUAUAUUUUAAGUUCAUGUUAUCCGAGUUGUCUUUAUGUGUUUCUGUGUCUCUUUUCUCAGGUCAUUUGAUGUUCUGUUUGGAGACUGCCCCUAUUGUUCUGAACCUGUCGCAGUUAAAGUUAAUAACUGACAUUAAUUCAGAGAUUAACAACUCAUUAUCUACCACAAGAAUGUGUCAGUUCUGGACUUGUGUAAGAGAGAGAGAGAGAUUUGUACAUCAAAUUAUCCUUUUUGUUGCUUCGAUCGUCGGAUUACAUUAUACUUGUGGUGAUUACAUUAUAUGCAUUUAUCCUUUGUGGAUUCUGUGCCGUAUGCAGCAGGGUUAGUCCUUUUGGUAAAUCGAAGAGUCAUACAAGUUCAUGAUCACGAGGAGGGCCCCAUCAAAUCAAUUGAUCAAGUGGUCCAGAAUGAAAUCAUGUUGACAGCUGCCACCACCAUUAAUCUGGUUUGAGAAGGUGCGUAACGGUCUGCUUUCACAACCAGCCUAGACUUCUCUGCCUUCUUUUGCCGCAAAAGUGUAAGCUUUGCGUGCGCCAUCAGCUAAAUAGACGCUGCCAGCCUUUUUAUUCUUCGCAGUGGCAGUUUCCAUUCCAAGCCAAAGCCUUUUGAUGAUUCGCUGAUGGCAAUGGCACCAGAGCUUAGAGAGCAGCAUCCAAGGAGCCAUCAAAAAGCUCUUAAACCAGGAAGAUUUUCGAAUGUGUUCUUAUGAACAACAUGCAUUGUUCAAAGGUCACAUUCUCUCUCCCGCAGUCUCCUCUGCUGUCAAGAGAAAAGAGCUUUGGCGUGUGGGAGGGGGGGACUGCUCAGCAGAGCUAUACUGCAAGCAAAACGCAAAACUUAGCAGCCAGCGUUGUGUGAUACUGGUCACAGUGGACACAGCAAAGUCAUAACUCACAGCUGUUAUCUGAGUGUCUGCUUGUGAGGAGAAUCCUCCCCCUUGACAUCUGACCACCCUAGACUUUGUGGGUUCAGCCUUCCUGCUAUUUUGAGUCAUCGGUAGGCAGUAGACAUGGUUGCUCUCUGAUGCAUCUGGGGUGAUUGAGGGCUCAUGGAUCAAUGUUGCUGAGGUUGGUUUGAAAUUUUGCGUCCCUUUAUUUCAGACUUGCUUUCUUUCUCUCUUUCUUGCAACCUCUGCACCAACUGUUGUGUGUGCUUUUGCUGCUGCUCUCCUCCCUCUGUUCUGUCCUUUCUCUCUGCCUGACUGAUUGCCUAGCAAAGCAAGAUUUUAUGGUUAUCAAUGCAUUCAAGACC